GAAGCUGUUUCCUGUUUUUAAAUAGUUACAGAUCAUGAAAUCAUUACAUUCAUUAAACUUCUUUCCACCUUUUUCAUUUUAUCGUAAGAUUUUACUAUCAAUAAGUUUAUCUGUAUCAGGUUAGUGCAUUCAAAGUGCUUUACACUGAGACUGAUUCACAUGAUAAUGAUGCUGAAAAUUCAAUAUAACCAAUAAAAUAGAUUUAAAAUAAAAAUAAAUGGAUAAAAGACAAAAGACAAGGGAAUAAAACAUUUUAAAACAUGGAUACAAUCAAAUAAAUGUUUGAAUAAAAUAAAUAAUGGCCAUAAAACAUCCUAAUAAAGACUAAAGAGCUGCUCAGUCAGACUGUUUAUAUCUAUAAUCUGCCUUUAGAGUCACUUCACAGGAUCAACGCACACAAAUACAUGCAUAGGAUAUACUGUAUAUAUAUAUAAUUAAUAUAUAUCAAUCUUCAUGUUGUGUUAAUGUUCAUAUUAUUGUUAUUUUGUUCUGUCCAAAUAUUUGGACAAAUUGUGUUUUGAUGCUUUGACAACAUUGAAACUUUCCUGCCAAUAAAGUCCAUUGAAUUGAA